rnacentral:rRNA from 1 species
GAUGAACGCUGGCGGCGUGCCUAAUACAUGCAAGUCGAGCGAAUGGAUUAAGAGCUUGCUCUUAUGAAGUUAGCGGCGGACGGGUGAGUAACACGUGGGUAACCUGCCCAUAAGACUAGGAUAACUCCGGGAAACCGGGGCUAAUACCGGAUAACAUUUUGAACCGCAUGGUUCGAAAUUGAAAGGCGGCUUCGGCUGUCACUUAUGGAUGGACCCGCGUCGCAUUAGCUAGUUGGUGAGGUAACGGCUCACCAAAGCAACGAUGCGUAGACGACCUGAGAGGGUGAUCGGCCACACUGGGACUGAGACACGGCCCAGACUCCUACGGGAGGCAGCAGUAGGGAAUCUUCCGCAAUGGACGAAAGUCUGACGGAGCAACGCCGCGUGAGUGAUGAAGGCUUUCGGGUCGUAAAACUCUGUUGUUAGGGAAGAACAAGUGCUAGUUGAAUAAGCUGGCACCUUGACGGUACCUAACCAGAAAGCCACGGCUAACUACGUGCCAGCCGCCGCGGUAA